GGCGGGGUAGCUCAGCUGGUAGAGCACAGGACUCAUAAGCCUGACGUCGUGGGUUCGAUCCCCACCUCCGCUA
rnacentral:tRNA from 1 species